GGUUGUGUAGUGGAGUGGUUAUCACUUCAGAUUGUAUUUCUGAUAACCCCGUCGAGCCCGGGCACAACCU